GAUGAACGCUGGCGGCGUGCUUAACACAUGCAAGUCGAACGUGAGAGGUAGCAAUAUCUUGAAAGUGGCGCACGGGUGAGUAACACGUAGGUAACCUGCCUCGGAGUGGGGGAUAACAGUUAGAAAUGACUGCUAAUACCGCAUGAAUCCAUUAAGAUGGGAAUGUUGAUGGAGAAAAACUCUGGUGCUUCGAGAGGGGCCUGCGGUCGAUUAGCUAGUUGGCGGGUAACGGCCCACCAAGGCGACGAUCGAUAGCUGGUCUGAGAGGACGAUCAGCCACACGGGAACUGAGACACGGUCCCGACUCCUACGGGGGGCAGCAGUGAGGAAUAUUGGGCAAUGGGCGAAGCCUGACCCAGCAACGCCGCGUGGAGGAAUGAAGGCCUUCGGGUUGUAAACUCCUUUUUGCAGGGGGAAGAGGAAGGACGGUACCCUGCGAAUAAGUCACGGCUAACUACGUGCCAGCAGCCGCGGU
rnacentral:rRNA from 1 species